UCUUCCCAUUCCGAACAGAGAAGUUAAGCCCGCUUGCGCCGAUGGUACUGCAAUGCAAUGCGGGAGAGUAGGUAGCUGCCUUCU
rnacentral:rRNA from 1 species